CAAUUACUCUUAGCUAAUUAACUUAAGAAACAGAAAAAGUUAAGGAUUCUGGUAGUUGUUGUCAAAUGACACCAUUGUGCAAAUUGCCUAUUACUAAACUUACUUCUUUUCUCACAGAUGUAUUGAACUGGACUAUCCUUUAUUGGCAGAAUAUGAUUUUAAAAAUGAUACAGUGAAUCCAGAUCUGAACAUGGACUUGAAGCCAACUACAGUUCUAAGGCCGUACCAGGAAAAGAGCCUUCGGAAAAUGUUUGGUAACGGCAGAGCCAGAUCCGGUGUUAUUGUAUUACCAUGUGGAGCCGGUAAGACCCUUGUGGGUGUGACAGCAGCUUGUACUGUAAGGAAGCGAUGCCUUGUUCUGUGUACUUCAGGUGUCGCAGUUGAACAGUGGAGAACACAG